rnacentral:rRNA from 1 species
CCUACGGGUGGCAGCAGUGAGGAAUAUUGGUCAAUGGACGAGAGUCUGAACCAGCCAAGUCGCGUGAAGGAUGACUGCCCUAUGGGUUGUAAACUUCUUUUAUAUGGGAAUAAAAUGUUCCACGUGUGGGAUUUUGUAUGUACCAUAUGAAUAAGGAUCGGCUAACUACGUGCCAGCAGCCGCGGUAAUACGGAGGAUCCGAGCGUUAUCCGGAUUUAUUGGGUUUAAAGGGAGCGUAGGUGGAUUGUUAAGUCAGUUGUGAAAGUUUGCGGCUCAACCGUAAAAUUGCAGUUGAAACUGGCAGUCUUGAGUACAGUAGAGGUGGGCGGAAUUCGUGGUGUAGCGGUGAAAUGCUUAGAUAUCACGAAGAACUCCGAUUGCGAAGGCAGUUCACUGGACUGCAACUGACACUGAGGCUCGAAAGUGUGGGUAUCAAACAGGAUUAGAUACCCGAGUAGUC